rfam:Drosophila mojavensis strain TSC#15081-1352.22 Ctg01_11509, whole genome shotgun sequence.
UUUAGCUAUGAUUGUCCAAACGCAAUUCUUGUUGAUUUUUAAAUACUCAAGGGUUGCAUCUGGGCAUCGCGGCUCGA